UUUUAGGUGUCUGGUAUUUUCUGAAUUUUUUUUACCAGACAAGAGGUAAAAAUACUAGACUGUCCGGGUCAAUACCAGACACCUGGCAACCCUAUUCCUGGGCAGCCCAAGUCGUGUGUUGGGUUUCCUGGCUCCUCCCCUCCAGCAGCCCAGCUGAACAGCUUUCACUUUCCAGUUGCCCAGCUCUGAAGGCAUCAUGUCCACCAGCAACGGCACAUAGGGGAAAGAGAUUUGGACCUUUGACUGCAGAUAACUGAGAAGUCAGAAAUGAUAUACAAGGUUGUCUGAAACUUUCCUGGUAUCCUACGGUUCCCGGCAAUCAAGAUAACGUCACAGAGUUGCUGUUGCUUCAAGUAGCUUUCCAUCUUUCUGAAGGUUUGUUCGGCAUGGUGU